CUCAUUUUUCUACUGCUCGUGCUGCCUGGCCAGGGCGACUGGCGGAUAAGGUCUUGUGCGUGGCCUCGAGGCUUAAAAGUAGCAGUGGGGCUUUGUGAAGGACAAAAUGGCGAUGGCGGGCCGUGUAGGUCCCCCUUCCUAUGAUGAGGACCUUUUCACAGACCUGUACUGAGCUCCGUGAGGAUAAAUAACUCUGAGGAGAUGGGCCCUGCAAGCCUCUUGCUUAGCCGUCUGUUCAGAAAAUAGCGUUUUCGAAAUGCCCUGAGUUGACCUAAUGUCUUAUUGGGCUCCUGUCUGCAGGAUUUACGCGCACGUUGGAACCGAAGAGAGCUCUGUUGUUGCAGUAAGUUCUUACGGCCAUUUCUUAAUCUCUGCUCUUUCGUUGAGUGUGUGGAAGUUGCUACGGGGAUGAUUUUACGAACUGAACUCUCUCUUUCUGAUGGAUUAGUGGAGAAAACAGAAAAUUCUGAGUAGCACUGUACUGUACGCAACAAAUGUCAGGGCCCUAUUGAUUUGUCUGAGGUGUUAGUGAAGGGUGUUAUUUUUUCAGAUGUUCAGCCCACAAGAGCUUACUGGUGAAGGAAUGGGACAAGACCCAUCUUUAUGCAAAGCCAGCGUUACAGUAAUGUUCCAGGUAGGUGUACAUGGUUUAUGCUCUUACAGAGGAGACCUUGUAGAUAACCACUCCAUGAUGAACACAAAAUGACAAGCAUAUGGCUGAACUUUCAAGUGAUGUCAUCUUACUACUGAGAAGUGAGAGAGAGGUCUUAAGGGGUCUUUGAAUGACUAUUUUUAGGUACAUAAAAUGCUUUCCUCUGUUGUCUACAGCAUCUCAUAAUCUAUCCUGGGGAAUUCAGCUGCCUCCCAGGGUGAAUACAGGUAAUUAUCCAAAUUGGUGUAUGUCAUCUUUGUAAAUGUUCAAGAAAACAAGUGGCCGGCGGAACAAUGUUUUUUGGCGCCUUCCAUCUUGUUCCUCUUGAAAUGAUUUUCUGGGGAGGGAGAUCGCAACCCGGUACUACAGUUCUUGUAAGGGUGUGCUGUUACCCUCAUCCAUAUAUCGAUCACGUUACUGUCAGAUGAUUUGAAUUGAUAAGCUGAUGUUCUGUGAGGUACAAAAGUUAAUAGCAUGUUAGAGUUCUGAUGGCAGUUGUUGUUUAUGAAUAAGCUUCAUUCCAUCCUAAUACCUUAAAAUAACUAAUUUGCUUUCCUUUCCAGGUAUUCCUGAUGACAGUCUGCCUCUAUCUUACAGUAAGUUGUUUUUCGAAUUCUAUGGGCCUAUUAUCUAAUAGAUAACUUAGCCAUUUUGAUAUUUGUUACCAAAGCCUGCUUAACCCAUAAAGUUUUCUGGUUCCUCUUGUUCUCUGUAGUGAUGUUUCUAGAUAGAUGCCCACUGAUAUAUGCCCCUUUUUUCUCAGAUAGAUGCCCACUGAUCUGCCCAGGGUCAGACGAAUGCUUGUCAGUUGUAGCUUUCCAGGAUUCUGCUCCAAUGAGGAGGAAACAUCCUGCCUUACCCCUGUUUUAGCCUGGGAACCAGUAAUUGUGAACUCACCAGGGUUAACAUGAAGAGGGCAUGAGAGCUUAUUCCAUAAGGAAUUGUCUGAGACAUUUGGUUACCUUUUCUUAGUUUGUCCAUUAGCAACCGUAACUAAAAUAGUUUUGGCUGUUUGGGAUAAUUAGCUAAUUGAAUGAUUUUUUGAUUCAGGAGCAGCUUGUUGCUAUAUACCAUUGAAAAGCCUUCAGAGCUGAGAGGUUAGUUGAUAUUUUUUGUUCCUUACAGCUUAUGCCACCAAGUAGGCAGUUUCUAUGAUGAAUCAAACUAGCUCACUAUGACCGACAGUGAAAAUACAUGAACACCUGAGAAACUGGAGAACGCAGGGAGUGGGGGGUAACCAUGUCUGAGGAAUCUUUCACCCACAGCUUUGUUUUUCUCUAGGUACUACUAACCAAUAACCUGCUUGGCUCAAAGGGCCAGCACCUUCUCUCUAAAGCCCAAGAGGAGUUUGAGGUAAAUGGCUUUGCAAUAGUUACCAUCAAUGGCUGCUAUAUAAAAUUUUCUGUGAUUUUUGUGUGUGAUAGCACUGUGGUCUGGGUGAAUGUACACAGACAUAACUGGCUUAACCCAAAGUCUUUGAUCUCCUGAACCACCAGUGAUGAAUUGCUGCUCACCAGUGAUGAGUUGAAUACCGCCCCAGUCUGAUCAAUGUGUGACUGAAAGGUAUUUUCUGAGCUGUGAGCCUGCCUUCCAGUGACAUGUUCUAAAAAUUGCAAGUUAUUUGAGGAGGCUUUACAGCCAAUAGGAAGUUCUUGGGCUAAGUAGUGUUUCCUAUAAAAUGUGCCCUGAAACUUCUUUCUGCCAAGCAAUAGAUACAAUUGAGAGAUUGUAAAAUGUGACAUAGAAUGAAAGUCUCUCAAGACUACAUUUUUCUUUCUUGAUUUUGCAGGAAAACUAGGUGUCUGUGUUCACUCCAGGCUGAAGUUACAGGUGAGUAAACCUAAAUGUAAGGUGGACUAUGCUAAAAAUUCCCAAUGAAGAAACUUUCACAUGUCUUACUCUCUGUCCUAGUCCCAGAGCCUGUAAAGGUGAACCCACUGGGACUGGCUGGGGGAGAAGAGGAAGAUUUGUUCCAGAAGGAACUGUCUGAGGGAUGAUAAAGAUUUCUAUACAGAGAAAGGGAGUAAUCAUCACUUGUUGAAAACAUUGGUUUUAUUUUUUCCAGGUCUGAGCAAAUAAGGUGUAUAAAAAAUGGUAGGUAUCUGUUUAAAUAUUUAACUGAUUUUAUAAUAGCAACCUUUUGCUCCUAGGUUACAUAGUGUUAAAUAUUGUGUUCAUUUGUAUUUUCCAAUCCAAUAAGAACUUUUUUUUUUACCUCUGCAGGAAUCUGUCUUGGAGGACAUCAGAAGGUGAAUUUUCCAAGUUCUUGGACAACCUAGCUGUUGAAAAGCUUUCUGGGUUUGGGGGGUAUUUCAGAUGUACCUUAAAGUGUUAGCAGACACAGAUUAAGACACUGGGAGCCAAUGAAACAGCAGUUGAGGGUUUGCUGUGUAUCACAUUUCUGUAUUUUAUCACCCCCUUCCUGCAACAUUAUUUAUCUGGAAUCUACCUGCCCUUUUGUUUUUUAGAUACAAGGGCUUGGUUUUGUUACCCAGGCUGGUUUCAAGGCCAUAGCUUUAAGAGAUCCUCUCACCACAGAUUUCCAAAGUGCUGGGAUUGCAGGUGUGAUUCAUGGCACCCAGACUUUGCUGCCUUUCUUACAUGAUCCAGGCCCAGAACCCAAACUCAGGCACUGUAUAGAUGACCACUUUCGUAAACUACUGACCUAGCUUGUUGCCAAUUGUUGAUUGAACUUCCCAUAACUCCACUUCGUGUCUGUUCCUCUGUAUACAGCCACCUUCUGUUCCCGUCAUGAGCCUUUAGGUCUCCAUUUGCAUAUUGCAAAUACUAUGUUCCAUGUAGGUAGCUCAUUCAGGGCCUUGCUCUUCACUUCAAAAAAGGUUCCCUUGAGGACUGGCUGUCAAUUUGUGUUGCU
rnacentral:lncRNA from 1 species